rnacentral:rRNA from 1 species
CCUACGGGGGGCAGCAGUGGGGAAUAUUGGACAAUGGGGGCAACCCUGAUCCAGCCAUGCCGCGUGUGUGAAGAAGGCCCUCGGGUUGUAAAGCACUUACAGUGAGGAAGAACGCCUGGUGGUUAAUACCCAUCAGGAAAGACAUCACUCACAGAAGAAGCACCGGCUAACUCCGUGCCAGCAGCCGCGGUAAUACGGAGGGUGCGAGCGUUAAUCGGAAUUACUGGGCGUAAAGCGCGCGUAGGUGGCUUGAUAAGCCGGUUGUGAAAGCCCCGGGCUCAACCUGGGAACGGCAUCCGGAACUGUCAAGCUAGAGUGCAGGAGAGGAAGGUAGAAUUCCCGGUGUAGCGGUGAAAUGCGUAGAGAUCGGGAGGAAUACCAGUGGCGAAGGCGGCCUUCUGGACUGACACUGACACUGAGGUGCGAAAGCGUGGGUAGCAAACAGGAUUAGAUACCCUAGUAGUC